rnacentral:tRNA from 1 species
GGGUUGUUAGCUCAGUUGGCUAGAGCGCCUCGUUUACACCGAGGAGGUCGGGGGUUCGAGCCCCUCACAACCCACCA